CAUCCGCUGGAUUGUCUUGAUUUGCAUUAUUGGCUUUCCCUUUUAAUUUUGCCGUCAUCUGGGCUUCCUAUUUGUGCCACUUUGGAGUUGUCUGAGCCCCAGUGCCAGGUUUCAAAUCUUAAUUUUUUUGCAUGUCUGGCAUUGUGAAUGCGUGGGUUUUUUCAGGGGCAACAUUCUCUGGAAUUGUGGAUUCCAGAUCGACAGUCAUGGAGUAAAUGAAGCCAAACUGGCUUUUUCAGACAACAAACGGGAUUGAUCCAGCUGCAUGCAUCUGAGAAAGGUCAAGACACUGACGAAGUGGAAGCCUGCAAAGCCAGAGAGAGACCUUCAGUUGGGGUCCAUGUAAAGAGUGGGGAAGGCUUUCUGGAGCCUGGGGGAUACCUCUCCCCACUGACUAACACCCUUUGCUCUGUCACCCUCAGCCUGAGAUUUUACCCAAGUCAACAUUCACUUAGGUGAUUAAGUGCAAGUAUUUCCAGGAAGCCUAAGCAAAAUAUGAUAGGCAUUUCAACUUUAAGGAAGUCUCCCUCUUAGCUGUGAUUAAUUAAAAAAAAAAAAAAAAAA